UACAAGUUUGAUUCCUGCUCAGAUGAACGUAGCGGGAUGUUAUACACUUCCAGGUCGAUGGCAGCGGGAAGAGCGCUUGCUUUCCUCGCGGGCGAGGGGCGAAGGGGUGAGUAUUUUAUCGGCACGUGCCCAGUAGCGGGGGAUAACUGGCCGAAAGGUCAGCUAAUACCGCAUACGCCCUACGGGGGAAAGGGGGGGAUUCUUCGGAACCUCUCACUAUUGGAGCGGCCGAUAUCGGAUCAGCUAGUUGGUGGGGUAAUGGCCUACCAAGGCGACGAUCCGUAGCUGGUUUGAGAGGACGACCAGCCACACUGGGACUGAGACACGGCCCAGACUCCUACGGGAGGCAGCAGUGGGGAAUUUUGGACAAUGGGGGAAACCCUGAUCCAGCCAUCCCGCGUGUGCGAUGAAGGCCUUCGGGUUGUAAAGCACUUUUGUCAGGGAAGAAAAGGUUCUGGCUAAUACCCGGAACUGAUGACGGUACCUGAAGAAUAAGCACCGGCUAACUACGUGCCAGCAGCCGCGGUAAUACGUAGGGUGCAAGCGUUAAUCGGAAUUACUGGGCGUAAAGCGUGCGCAGGCGGUUCGGAAAGAAGGAUGUGAAAUCCCAGGGCUCAACCUUGGAACUGCAUUCUUAACUACCGAACUAGAGUAUGUCAGAGGGGGGUAGAAUUCCGCGUGUAGCAGUGAAAUGCGUAGAUAUGCGGAGGAAUACCGAUGGCGAAGGCAGCCCCCUGGGAUAAUACUACGCUCAUGCACGAAUUGGACUUAUG
rnacentral:rRNA from 1 species